rnacentral:rRNA from 1 species
UACAGAGACUGCAAGCGUUAUCCGGAUUCACUGGGUUUAAAGGGUGCGUAGGCGGGCAGGUAAGUCAGUGGUGAAAUCCCCGAGCUUAACUUGGGAACUGCCGUUGAUACUAUCUGUCUUGAAUACUAUGGAGGUAAGCGGAAUAUGUCAUGUAGCGGUGAAAUGCUUAGAUAUGACAUAGAACACCAAUUGCGAAGGCAGCUUGCUACACAGUUAUUGACGCUGAGGCACGAAAGCGUGGGGAGCAAACAGG